AGUGAACGCUGGCGGUAGGCCUAACACAUGCAAGUCGAACGGCAGCACAGUAAGAGCUUGCUCUUACGGGUGGCGAGUGGCGGACGGGUUAGGAUUACAUCGGAAUCUACUUUUUCGUGGGGGAUAACGUAGGGAAACUUACGCUAAUACCGCAUACGACCUACGGGUGAAAGCAGGGGAUCUUCGGACCUUGCGCGAUUGAAUGAGCCGAUGUCGGAUUAGCUAGUUGGCGGGGUAAAGGCCCACCAAGGCGACGAUCCGUAGCUGGUCUGAGAGGAUGAUCAGCCACACUGGAACUGAGACACGGUCCAGACUCCUACGGGAGGCAGCAGUGGGGAAUAUUGGACAAAGGGCGCAAGCCUGAUCAAGCCAUACCGCGUGGGUGAAGAAGGCCUUCGGGUUGUAAAGCCCUUUUGUUGGGAAAGAAAAGCAGCAGGUUAAUACCCCGCUGUUCUGACGGUACCCAAAGAAUAAGCACCGGCUAACUUCGUG
rnacentral:rRNA from 1 species